GUGGGUAUAGCCCAGGGGUAGCACAUGUGCUUAGCAUGCAUGAGGCCCUGGGUUCAAUCCCCAGUACUUCCA
rnacentral:tRNA from 1 species